rnacentral:tRNA from 1 species
GGCCCCGAGGUGUUUUACACACUGGAUUGCAAAUUCAGAGUAGCAGGCUGACCCCUGCCGGGGCUU